GGUGAUUGUAGCUCAGUUGGUUAGAGCGCUAGUUUGUGGCACUAGAGGCCGCGGGUUCGAGUCCCGUCUUUCACCC
rnacentral:tRNA from 1 species